GGCUGGUCUGAGGGCAGUGGUGUUUACAACUAAUUGACCACAACCAGCUGUAGAUUUCUUUGUUCCUUUUUCACUCCCACUGUUUCCCUUGAUUAGCCUUAA
ensembl:misc_RNA Y_RNA Y RNA